rnacentral:rRNA from 1 species
GUAGGUGGCAAGCGUUGUCCGGAAUUAUUGGGGCGUAAAGCGCGCGCAGGCGGUUCUUUAAGUCUGAUGUGAAAGCCCACGGGCUCAACCGUGGAGGGUCAUUGGAAACUGGAGAACUUGAGUACAGAAGAGGAAAGCGGAAUUCCACGUGUAGCGGUGAAAUGCGUAGAGAUGUGGAGGAACACCAGUGGCGAAGGCGGCUUUCUGGUCUGUAACUGACGCUGAGGCGCGAAAGCGUGGGGAGCAAACAGGAUUAGAUACCCUGGCAGUCCACGCCGUAAACGAUGAGUGCUAAGUGUUAGGGGGUUUCCGCCCCUUAGUGCUGCAGCUAACGCAUUAAGCACUCCGCCUGGGGAGUACGGCCGCAAAGGCUG